rnacentral:rRNA from 1 species
GAUUACCCGCUGAACUUAAGCAUAUCACUAAGCGGAGGAAAAGAAACUAACCAGGAUUCCCCUAGUAACGGCGAGUGAAGAGGGAAUAGCCCAGCACCGAAGCCUGCGGUAGGUUUACUGCUAGGCAAUGUGGUGUUUGGGUCGACUCGCGGGAUUGCCACUCCACUCGAAGUCCAGCACUGAGUAUGGUUCCCUGGAUUUGGCCCAGAGAGGGUGAAAGGCCCGUGCGAGUGGAGGUUCAGACAUGUGAGGCAAUUCACCAGGUCGACCUUCGAGUCGGGGUGUUUGGGAAUGCAGC